AGAGGCUUCCACGACGGCGACGUUUGGGGGCCUUUCUUUUGC
rnacentral:antisense_RNA from 17 species